GGGAGCUCGGCGAGCACGAGUGAAAGCUUUGUCCUCCGGCAAAGACGGAGGAGUAGCGAACAACGACUGAGGAAAAGUUCGGCUGACGUCGACCACCGCCAUCUCAAAAUCGUCAUCGUUCUUGCCGUCAUCGAAAGGAACGUGAGACCAGCACAAAAAGGGGUCUUCGUUUUCCAUAUCCAUCAAAGGAGUCAUGACGGGCCUUUCAUCACUGUCAGUGCUUGACCAAGAAAGGCGAUGUAAUCGCCUGUUGGAAUCAGGGCUAGGUGUUCGCAAGAUGGUGAUGUCCGCAUCGGUGGUCAUCGACUCAUUAUGGACCCCUCAUUUGCAAGUGAUCCUACUUCCAUGACCUCAUGCCUUUGGAGCUCUCUCUCAGUUUCGGGAACCUCACAAACAGUGAAAAGGCCACAUUGGGAAGGCUCUUUCAUCGCAAUAUAGCGGCCCAGCUUUUUGGUGGCCUCCUUAGGUGGGUGUGGUGCAGGGCGGAGGGGAGCCGAAAGGGAGAGAGAAGAUGACUGGAAAAGGAAGGUGGCAAUGUUGGUAGAGGUUUCCUCGGGAUAUGAAGAGGAGAAAAUGGAGGACAUAUUGCGGUUGCUAUUGGUAUGACUAUACCUUUGAUUAGACUGAAAGGGAUGCAAUGGGGAGAACCAAAGCGAUUGAUGACGUGAGAAUUUGAGCUGAGAUGAUGGUACACAGUAGAGUUGCGUAAGAUUAUAGUCGACUAUGCAAUCGCUUGUGAGAGCAG
rnacentral:sRNA from 1 species